GAUGAACGCUGGCUACAGGCUUAACACAUGCAAGUCGAGGGGAAACGACGGGGAAGCUUGCUUCCCCGGGCGUCGACCGGCGCACGGGUGAGUAACGCGUAUCCAACCUGCCUCUGACUGAGGGAUAACCCGUCGAAAGUCGGCCUAAUACCUCAUGGCAUCGUCUGCGGGCAUCCAACGACGAUUAAAGAUUUCAUCGGUCAGGGAUGGGGAUGCGUCUGAUUAGCUUGUUGGCGGGGUAACGGCCCACCAAGGCUACGAUCAGUAGGGGUUCUGAGAGGAAGGUCCCCCACAUUGGAACUGAGACACGGUCCAAACUCCUACGGGAGGCAGCAGUGAGGAAUAGUGGUCAAUGGGCGGGAGCCUGAACCAGCCAAGUAGCGUGCAGGAUGACGGCCCUAUGGGUUGUAAACUGCUUUUAUGCGGGGAUAAAGUGAGGGACGUGUCCUUCAUUGCAGGUACCGCAUGAAUAAGGACCGGCUAAUUCCGUG
rnacentral:rRNA from 1 species